UCCGGAAGUUGGGACCCUUUUAGCUUUGAAAUAUUUUGGAUUGCGUAGAGUCUUGCGCAGCCGCGAAAAGUAGCGUGGGCCAAGACAGCGGGAGGUAAGUCGCCAAGAAAAGGGUUGGGAAGAGCUCAGAAUCGGACGGCUAGGAAGAAAUGACCCAAAGGAGCCUGAUAGAAAGCCCCCUAUUCUGCACGCUGUUCCUGGAAACCGCCUUUGCAAAGACAGUGAGAGAAAUCUAACAUGGCUCACUCCAUCUUGCUUCUAGCCUCUCAGGCCGGCUGUCUUCGCUCAUUCCUGGGCAUAAACCAAGCUAACCAUGGGAGAAUUUAUAGUUUAACUUUUAAGCAAGGAUGAUCAUAGUCCCUUCCUUAAACAGGGCUCCUCCUUGUUUGGGGGCUGAAACUGCCUUUAUAAAACUAAUGAAAGACCGGGAGGUUGGGAUUAUGAGGGGAGAAUUCUGCUAAAAUGUAGUAAACGAUAACCAGCCAUUGUUUCGGAGGACAUCGGAUAUGUAACUUCCCCAAUUAUUCCUGUAGAUAACGUUAUCGUAGCACCUAAGAUUGGUCUUUUGAGGCAUUUUUCAGACUUUCGCAUUUCUGGCAACUAACUGACCCCACCCAGACUCGUGACCCAUGACCCAACCGCUUCUUCUGCCCCACUCCUCCCCCAAGAGGCGGACUCAGCUGUUGAGGAGUGUAGUCCACACCCCUGUGAUUGCAUCUCCAACCAAUCAGCAGCACCCAUUCCCUAGUGCCCUGCCCACACCAAACUAUGAAAUACCCUAACCUCUGAGCUGACCCUUCAGGAAAACUUACUUGAGUGGUAACCCUUCUUCCCUGAGGCCAGCCUCAGGUUAAUACAACUCUAUACUGCAGUAGCACUUUUCAGUGAAUUGGUUUUGUCUGCAGUAAGCAGGAAGAACCUGUACUGCCAUUCAUUCCCAUAAGUGGAAAGUUCUUUCCAUUUAGAGCUUAAGGUGUUGUCACUUUCUCCAAGAAGCAGGUCUUGCCCUUGGCCUGGUGUGGUGGUUCAUGGCUGCAAUCCCAGCACAUUGCGGGGCGGAGGCGGGAGGAUUGCUUGAGCCCAGGAGUUCAAGACCAGCCUGGACAACAAAGUGAGAAUCAGUUUCUAAAUUAAAAAAUAAAAAUAAUUUUUUUUUGUUUUUUUGUUUUGAGACAGAGUCUUGCACUAUCACCCAGGCUGGAGUGCAGCGGCACCGAUCUUGGCUUACUGCAACCUCCGCCUCCCGGGUUCAGACGAUUCUCCUGCCUCAGCUUCCCGAGUAGCUGGGAUUACGGGUGCCCGCCACCAUGCCCAGCUAAUUUUUGUAUUUUUAGUAGAGAUAGGGUUUCACCAUGUUGGCCAGGCUGGUCUCGAACUCCUGACCUCAUGAUCUGCCCACCUCAGCCUCCCAAAGUGCUGGGAUUACAGGCAUGAGCCACUGUGCCUGGCCAUAAAAAUAAAUUUUUAAAAAUAGAAGCAGGUCUUCCCUGACUACCCUGUCUCACUUUUAGUACUGUAAUUUGACACUAUUUUAAUUCUCUCCAAUUGCAUAAGUUUUAUUUUUGUCUGUUGAUUUUCCAUUUUUCUCAUCAGCGUUAUUACUGGAGAACAGCAGGGUCCACCCAUCUUGUUUACUCUUACAUGCUCAGCGGAGAGGCAAUGCCAGAAUUACUAACAGUGCUAAAGUUACUAAGAUAAUUCAGUAAGGUGCUGGAUAUAAGAGGAAUAUAUGAAAAUUAUCUUUUUCUGCACUAACAACUACUAGUUAGAUACAGAAAUGAAAAAGUAGGCCAGGUGCAGUGGCUCACGCCUGUAAUCCCAAUACUUUGGGAGGCCAAGGCGGGCAGAUCACGAGGUCAGGAGAUCAAGACCAUCCUGGCUAACACGGUGAAACCCCAUCUCUACUAAAAAUACAAAAAAUUAGCCAGGCGUGGUGGCGAGCGCUUGUAGUCCCAGCUACUCUGGAGGCUGAGGCAGGAGAAUGGCGGGAAUCCGGCAAGCAGAGCUUGCAGUGAGCCGAGAUUGUGCCACUGCACUCCAGCCUGGGCAACAGAGCGAGACUCUGUCUCAAAAAACCAAAAAAAAAAAGAAAAGUAAUCCCUAAAAUGAAAAGAUAUCUAGGUACAAAAUUUAAAUGGUAACAUAAAAAUAAAAGAUAAUUUGAAGUAAAUUAAAUCUGAAUAAAUGGUGGAUAACCUA
rnacentral:lncRNA from 1 species